CCUACGGGGUGCAGCAGUGAGGAAUAUUGGUCAAUGGACGAGAGUCUGAACCAGCCAAGUAGCGUGAAGGAUGACUGCCCUAUGGGUUGUAAACUUCUUUUAUAUGGGAAUAAAACGUUCCACGUGUGGGAUUUUGUAUGUACCAUAUGAAUAAGGAUCGGCUAACUCCGUGCCAGCAGCCGCGGUAAUACGGAGGAUCCGAGCGUUAUCCGGAUUUAUUGGGUUUAAAGGGAGCGUAGGUGGAUUGUUAAGUCAGUUGUGAAAGUUUGCGGCUCAACCGUAAAAUUGCAGUUGAAACUGGCAGUCUUGAGUACAGGAGAGGUGGGCGGAAUUCGUGGUGUAGCGGUGAAAUGCUUAGAUAUCACGAAGAACUCCGAUUGCGAAGGCAGUUCACUGGACUGCAACUGACACUGAGGCUCGAAAGUGUGGGUAUCAAACAGGAUUAGAUACCCUAGUAGUC
rnacentral:rRNA from 1 species